rnacentral:rRNA from 1 species
UACAGAGGUGGCAAGCGUUGUUCGGAAUUACUGGGCGUAAAGAGCGUGUAGGCGGCCAGGUAGGUCUGGUGUGAAAACUCGAGGCUUAACCUCGAGAUGUCAUCGGAAACCAUCUGGCUAGAGUCCGGAAGAGGAGAGUGGAAUUCCUGGUGUAGCGGUGAAAUGCGCAGAUAUCAGGAAGAACACCAAUGGCGAAAGCAGCUCUCUGGGACGGUACUGACGCUGAGACGCGAAAGCGUGGGGAGCGAACAGG